rnacentral:lncRNA from 1 species
UGGUGUCAAGUCAUCAGCUCACCAGCCUUCAGCACGUAUCAUCUAUGUUCAGCUUCAGAGUGUGGGAAUCUCAGAAAUCACCAAAAUUCAAGCCAAAUAACACACUUCUCAAAGAAGAAGCUCCUUGCUAAGGGAAAGGCCACACUUUGCUUGUGUUAGUGCCGUGAUUUCACAAAGAUAAAUGAACUUGGAAGUAAUAUUUGGAAUUAGCUGAGUUCAAUUGUUAAGCGGUAUGGUUCCUACUGCUGGCUUGAGUUUAUAAUAUUGAAAUCCAUAUGUUCCAACGCCCCA